rnacentral:rRNA from 1 species
ACAACUUUCAACAACGGAUCUCGUGGCUCUCGCAUCGAUAAAGACCGCACCU